AUUGAACGCUGGCGGCAGGCCUAACACAUGCAAGUCGAACGAGUGGCGGACGGGUGAGUAAUGUCUGGGAAACUGCCUGAUGGCGGGGGAUAACUACUGGAAACGGUAGCUAAUCCCGCAUACCAUCGGAUGUUCCCAGCUGGGAUUAGCUAGUAGGUGGGGUAAAGGCUCACCUAGGCGACGAUCCCUAGCUGGUCUGAGAGGAUGACCAGCCACACGGGAACUGAGACACGGUCCAGACUCUUACGUGAGGCAGCAGUGGGGAAUAUUGCACAAUGGGCGAAAGCCGGAUGCAGCCAUGCAGCGUGUAUGAAGAAGGCCUUCGGGUUGUAAAGUACUUUCAGCGGGGAGGCGUUACCCGCAGAAGAAGCACCGGCUAACUCCGUGCCAGCCGCCGCGGUAAUUC
rnacentral:rRNA from 1 species